GGGGUUGUAGCUCAGUGGUAGAGGGCUCACCUCACAUGUGGAACACACUGGGUUCGAUCCUCAGCACCACA
rnacentral:tRNA from 1 species